rnacentral:rRNA from 1 species
UACAGAGGGUGCAAGCGUUGUUCGGAAUUAUUGGGCGUAAAGGGCGCGUAGGCGGUGCCACAAGUCACCUGUGAAAUCUCCGGGCUUAACUCGGAGCCUGCAGGCGAAACUGUGGUGCUGGAGUGUGGGAGAGGUGCGUGGAAUUCCUGGUGUAGCGGUGAAAUGCGCAGAUAUCAGGAGGAACACCGAUGGCGAAAGCGGCUCCUGGUCCAGCACCGGACGUUCAGGCACGAAAGCGUGGGGAGCAAACAGG